rnacentral:rRNA from 1 species
GACGAACGCUGGCGGCGUGCUUAACACAUGCAAGUCGAACGGAAAGGCCCUGCUUUUGUGGGGUGCUCGAGUGGCGAACGGGUGAGUAACACGUGAGUAACCUGCCCUUGACUUUGGGAUAACUUCAGGAAACUGGGGCUAAUACCGGAUAGGAGCUCCUGCUGCAUGGUGUGGGUUGGAAAGUUUCGGCGGUUGGGGAUGGACUCGCGGCUUAUCAGCUUGUUGGUGGGGUAGUGGCUUACCAAGGCUUUGACGGGUAGCCGGCCUGGGAGGGUGACCGGCAACAUUGGGACUGAGAUACGGCCCAGACUCCUACGGGAGGCAGCAGUGGGGAAUAUUGCAAAAUGGGCGGAAGCCUGAUGCAGCAACGCCGCGUGCGGGAUGACGGCCUUCGGGUUGUAAACCGCUUUCGCCUGUGACGAAGCGUGAGUGACGGUAAUGGGUAAAGAAGCACCGGCUAACUACGUG